CACUCCUCCUCGUGUCCUAACUUUAAGGAGCCAGAGAAAUAGAUCUUCAUCUUCGUGUCAAAGCAAGAGUCAAGUACAACAAUUGAGUCUUCUCAUUCUCAAUUCAACUAAAAAGCCAUAAAUGUACAACUUAAAGAUCUUCAUCAAAUUCUUUUGAGAUAUCAUACGAGAUGAUUCUUGAGCUAAAACUUCGACUUCUGUUUAUCUUUUCUCGGGGACGGGUGUUAUCGGUCGCCGACACUGCAACGGUUCUAUGGUGUUGUGUAGCUGUUGUUAUUCGCAUCUGUUCGCACAACUGUCCUUCGGAGUCUGUUGCUUCCCUUUCAAUUUAAUUUUCUCUCUCCUCUGUACAUUCUUUCGUGAUGAUUGUGCUUUUCGCUGGCUCUGUUUAUUGCUGCUCCUUACCGGUGUUCCGACGUCGUCAUUGUUGUUAGUUGUGUUGGUUGUUAUUGUUGCAGCCGUUGUUUUUGUUUUUGUUAUUGUUGUUGCUACCUUAUUUUUGAUGUUCCCUCUAAUGCUUCCUCACUUGAUUCAAAAGAAAAUCAAUUCUGAUUUUUGCAAGGUAUAAUCUGGACCUAUGUCUUUCUCUUUUCUCAUAUUCAAUUCGAAGAAUAUAUAGUUAUGAGUAUAAGAUUUUUUUUUAAAUGAGUUUUUGAAUUGAGUUCUAAAGAGAAUGAUUUCAAAGUUGAUAUAAUAUAGAUUGUGAAUUGUAAUUAUGGAAAUUAGUUGGGUUCUGACUUCUAAGUAUAAAAUGCAAAGCUGAAUCGUUAUUGUUUUGAACCUUCAUUUGUUUAAGUUCUGAAAGAGACUUUGUUUGGAAAUGAUUUUGUCGAUGAUGUUAAUGGGACCUUGAUUAGUUAAGUCAAGUAAUUCAGGUUGAGAUGGUUUGGUAUGAGCAGUCUAUAUGUUUGAGAAUUAUUAAGAAUGAGUAUUGAUAGUUGUAUUAUUGUUGAUGUAUUUCGAAUAUUGAUUGGUGAAUCUCAAAGAGUUUAAAGAAGCUUGGAGGUUCUCGGUUAUUGGAUUGGAGAUUAAGAAAUUGGAUUUCGUAUUUGGUAACCUUUACGUUCAGCAAAACGUAUUUACAUCCCCGUGUGUGUGUGUGUGUGUGUUGGGCUUUUGAUAUCAUAUAUCGUUUAUAGUCAUGGCCAUGGUUAUAGAUGCAUUUACAUGUGUUGAGUUAUAAAAUUAUAUUGAUUGAUAUAAAGUAUGUUUGGUUACGUUAUUGGAAUUGUUCCUAAAUAUUUAUGUUUCUUAGAGUAUGCUUUGAGUGUGAUAAUGAGCAAAUGUUUUUUAAUUGUUUUAGUUAGCUUAACUUAUGAACUAAGAUGAAUAGUGGGCAAGAUACAGGCGGAUGGAAAUGAUUCAGAUAUGAGUUAAGACCAGAUAAGGUCGAAUAUUAUGUUAUGUUACAUUAUGUUAAGUUUCCGCCUGUACUUGCCAGGUAUUUCUGUUGCGUGAUUACGCUAUGCCAGCGGUAUUUUAAAGGAUGAAUUAUUUUCCAAACAAUUACCAAGUUAAUUGAGAUUAAUGAAUGUUAAGUGUGAUUAGCUAGCAGCUCGGAAGUGCGGGCUAUUACAUGGACAAUAAGGAGUUGAAGUACAUGGUUAUGGGAAUACGGAGUCGCGCCCGUAUUUUGUCUUCCAAAGGGAAGGCUGGUUUUCAGUUAGACAACUCGGUCCAAUGACUAUUUCAUUAAAGUAAUAAAAAUGUUGUUAAAGUUUAGUUCAGUCAAAGUUAUCUGCAGAUUAUUGUGUUGCUAUAUAUCCUUGCUUGAUAUUUAUUAGUAUAAUGUUAGGGAUGUUUAUUUAUUUAUUAUGUAGUACUCAACUUUGCUGAUUACGUGCUUUGUUUGUGUGUGUUGAUCAUGGCUUUGCUUUAUUGACCCUGUGAUGAUCCAUCCUUGGAGAGCAGAUUUUCUAGUGCAUUGUCAUCUACAGGUGUGAAGAUGAUGCAUCAUGGGGGUUUGAGAAUGGAGAGCUUGUGUAGCAUGUUGAUGUAUUUAUCAUACUUAAGUUAAUAUACAUUUAUAUUUAAGUCGGUUUGAAGUUAA